rnacentral:rRNA from 1 species
UACAGAGGUCCCGAGCGUUGUUCGGAUUCAUUAGGCGUAAAGGGUGCGUAGGCGGCGGGGCCAGUCUGAUGUGAAAUCCCGGGGCUCAACCCCGGAACUGCAUUGGAUACUGCCUUGCUAGAGUACUGGAGAGGGAACUGGAAUUUACGGUGUAGCAGUGAAAUGCGUAGAGAUCGUAAGGAAGGCCAGUGGCGAAGGCGAGUUCCUGGACAGUGACUGACGCUGAGGCACGAAGGCCAGGGGAGCAAACGGG